AGUGGAGGGAGACAAAGCGGACCCGGUAUCGCAGCCUUCUGCAGCUGCAAAGCCUCAGGGACCGAGAAUGAAACAAGUUUGAGUGUCUUGCCUCUCUGGCCCAGCCGGUGAAUGGACAGCCCCGCGCUGAGGCUCCCAACCCAGGCGAGCGCAGCCCGGCGCUGUCAGAGCCGGCGAGAUACUCGGGAAAGAGUAGCAGGGGCCGAUCUGGGUGUCCGCCGCCUGCGCCCUGGGCGUGCAUUGCCCACGCUCAGAUUAGGACACCUGAGCGGGGACAGUGGAGAGGGAAGGGGCACACGCUUGGACACUCCGGGGACAAUGCAGGUUGGGGACUUAACGUUUCCCGCAGACUGAUGGCCAGACUCGUGCCCUGGGAGUUUUCUAUGCAUCCUGUCUCCCCACUCCAGCGGCUGCAGCGCUCCGGUCUGGGUUCUGCCCCACGCGGCCCGGGAGCCUCAACCCCGGCACAGUCCAGCGGGCGCGCACCACGUGCUUCCCAGCCAAUCGCCUAGGCCGCUUGAUUCAAAGCGAACUCCUCAAAGGAGCGGCCAGGCCGAUUCCUCUCGGUGGCGAUAAAGCCUGACUCGCCCUCUUAGACCGGGCCCUUCCCAUAUUUUAUCGCACUGUUCAGCAAAGGAAAAAAAAAAAAAAAAAGUGCAGUACACAUAUGUUUAAAGCACCGCCAGCGUGCCAGGAAGAAGGAAAGCGAUUUGAAAAGUAAUCUCGCACGGCCAUAACUACUUAAGAAUCCUGUUUUUGAUCUCUGCGAUAAAUGCUUGUUUUUCCACGGAGAGCUAAAAGCCUUUUUUUCAACCCUUCAUUUUACAGAUGAGAAAACGGAAGCUCAGGAAGAUGUGAAUUACCUAGCUCGAGGACACGCAGUCGCUUAAAUGCCCCAAUCCAGCAGCCCAAGAGGCACUGUGCGUUUGCGUUUUCUCUGACAGCCCGACCGCACCCCCUCGCCAACUUUCUUUAAAAUACUGGGCGCAGAAGUGGUUCACACUGGCUAAAGAGGCUCCAGCUGGCGCUGCCAGGCUCCAGACACGGCUGAAACCGAGGCUCUGUCGGUCCUUUAUUCUAAUCCCUCUUUCCUCUACCCGCAUUCCCUCCUGGUAUUUGCGCGAAUUUCACUCCCUGCAAACAAAGGAAAACAGUGCCCUCUGAAGUCCUUUGUUAGCAUUAACUUGUUAGCCACCCGAGGCUUUAAAGAUCUGUUUCAUAUUUUGAUUUUUUAGACAGAGCCUCGGCCCCAGACUCCUUUUCAAAGCCCGAGACGGCCCCGUCAAUUCACGAAAGAAGCACGAGCAAGUCUUUUAUCUGUACAGGAGGAAGUCUCUAGACAGACCUAUGAUCAAGCUGAACAAUGGAGGUGAUGGAUGCGAUAAUGAAAUUCAGAGAAGGACACAGAAGACAGAGAAAAAGCCACAGAAGCUGAGCGAGAAAGCCACAGAAACUGAGAAUGAGAGACACAGAUGGAGCAACCAGGAGAUGAAAGCAAAGAAACCCGGGAGAGAACGAAGAGACCAGCAGACCCUGCCAUGUGCCUUGCCAUGUGCCUGAGUCUCAGAUUGCCAGCAGCCUGUCUUUGGGAAGAAGGUAUCAUCUUGAUGAUGCCUAGAUCUGGACAUUUCCAUGGCCUCAAAACUGUAAGCUUGUAAACUAAUAAAUCCUUACUGGAAAAGCCACCCAUUUUAUGGUAUCUGCAUUUCAGCAGAUUUAGCAAUCUAAAACAGAUGCAGUUUCAGCCAAGGCCUCCACCAAACCCCAUUGGGAAUUCCAGAACUGGGAGGAUCCUGCAGUGUUGUCCUCAGUUUUUGGGUGAGCAGGUCAGGCCUUUUUACGGCUGCAUCAACCUGUCCCUAAUUGUGGGCUGCCCGGAAAGGAGGUGCUCCUCUGCAGAGGUGGUUCUGAAGAGGGCUGAUGGCUGAGUCCCUUCUCCUGGCAGCUCCCCCAGCCCCUGGCAGGUAAGUCCACUCCGAGAAAGGACCCGAAAGGUACAGCACAGGGCCCACUUCAACUCUUCACCUAUCAGGCCCUAAUCCUCUUACUUACACACCAAGAAAGAAGAGACCUAAGUUCCAAACAGCAGUCCUCUUAUUUUCAAAAAGAGAGAGAUUUUUUAAAAAAGAAAAUUGUCUAUUAAAGAAGGGCAAGAAAAAAGAAAAAGUCGUUAUUCUCUCUGUGAAAAAAGAACAAGGGGUCAAAAAUUGAAGCUCAGUUUUCUGAAUUUUGGUUUGUAGUCUUCUGCAAUCAGGUUUUUAAAAUUUUGUAUUUAUGUUAAAUAUCUGUCAUAAUAGACUUUGAAAGUAUUCUUAAAAUUUUAUGCAAUUGUUUGGUCAUAUUUUAAAAUUGCAUUCUCUUCCUACACAUCCAUGAUACAUGCUGUUGUGGGUUGAAUUAUGUACUCCAGAAAAACACUGUUCUUAAUCUUAAUCUUUGCCUGUGCCUGGGUACCCAUCUUAAAUAGGACCUUUUGAAGAUGUUAUUUUUGGUUAAGGUGCGGCCAACUGAAUCAGGAGGGGUCUGAAUCCUCUUACUGGAGGCCAUAUAGAGAAAGCCCCCUGAGAAAGCCACGGAGAGAAGCUGGAAACCGGAGGUCAACAGAACACAGGAGAGAAAGGAGAGGACAUCGCUAUGUGGCAGGAAAGCCAAGGAAUCCAGAGCAGCCAGCUAGAACACGACUCACCCAGGGAGGAAGCAAGCUUUCUAGCUUCUGAAAGCCUGAGCCAGUGAAUCCUGUUGUUAAACCAACUCACCGCAUGGUAAUUUUGUCACAGCAACCUGAAAACUAAGAUACCUGCUACCACCUUACUGUGCAUUUUGAUAAUUAAAUUGGAUUAUAGUAUGAUUUUUUUUAAAUUUCAAAUUCCAGUUGUUCCUUGCUGAUGUGUAUUGAACACAACUGACUUCUGUAUUAUGAUUUUUAAUGGAAAGUUUGAUGUGAAUAAUGUAUCUUUAUCUUUUAAGUGCUAAGCUCCACUGUUAGUAUUUCCACUGUUAAUACUGAACUCUGUUGUUUUAGCUGGGAAAUUCAUUCUUCCUUUGAGACUCCAUCACCUGAUAUAGUCUCAAGUGACAUUUCAAGGGGUAGACAGUUGAUUGCCUAUUGUAGAGGGACACAAUUAAGUCAUUUUCCCUGAUAUUAUUCUAUAAAGUUUGGUCAUUAGUACAUCAAGCAAUUUAGGUUGCUUUUGUUAUCUCUACUCCAGGGCCCUUCAAGACAAUGAUUCCCAAGAUUCUUCCCCCAAGAUCACAGAUUUUCAAGGUCAGGAUUUUUGAACAGCAUUUAUUAGUUUCUCUUUGAUUGCAAAAGCAGUGCAUUGCAGAAAUCCAGGAAGUACAGAAAAGCAAAAAGUAAACCCGUCACUUGGAAAUAAUGACACUUAGCAUUUACGUUCCAUUCUUUCUAUGUCCUUAUAGUAUUUUAUUUUUAGCUAUUAAGUGAUUAAGGGUGGAGACUCUAGAACCAGGCUUGAAUCCCUUCUUCCAUAUUUACAAGCUUACAUGUUCUUGGUGCCUUCAUUUCCUAAUCUGAAAUAUCUAAUAUCAGUAAUUGUCUCAGAGGGUUGUUCUGUGAACCAAAUAAGCUAAUAUAUAUAAGGCACAUAGAACAGUGCCUAGCUUGUGGCAAGUACUGUAUAAUGUUUGCUUUUAGGAUUAGUAAGCUGUUUAAGGAGGAUAGUAUUCCUGCAACCCCAUAGAUAGAUCAGAGUAGCUCUCCUAAGUAAAAGGGACUUGAAUCCUUAUCAAGUUCCUAUUUCCACAUCUGCUCAAUAGCACUAGUUAUGGGAUGCUUGCUUGUCUUAAAUGAGUCCCCAUAUUCUCUUGGAGUGUUUAUUGGGGCUCUGUGCUCUUCUUACACACCUAGUAAGCUGAUACCUCGUGCAAUAAAAGCUCAAAUUCGUGGUGUCUGCCUUUCCCUCCUCCCAUCCCUAACUGAUACGGCCUUCAUGUUUUGGAUUGGGACCACCACUCUUAAGUCGAUGAUGGUGAAACAAUUCUUCACCCUCCAUUACCUUAAAAAACAAAACAAAACAAAACUAAGCUGCUGCCAAGGGAAAAGUGUUCAAGAAAUCACACAUUUAAAAAAUAAGCAGUUAGCUAUAUUCAGGAAAAGGCAGCCCAGCCCGAACAGAGCAUACAUCAAAUAUAGUCUCCCAUUACUUUUCCUGCCCUGAAGAUCUUGUAGGACGCAUUUGGGAAAAGCUCACUCCAAUCUAUCAGAAUCACACCA